rnacentral:rRNA from 1 species
GCGCAGCAGGCGCGAAUACUCCGCAAUGCCCGAAAGGGUGACGGGGGAUUCCAAGUGCCUACGCUUAGCGUAGGCUGUUCAGGUGCCUAAAAAGCACCUGGAGGAAGGGCUGGGUAAGACGGGGUGCCAUCUGUGGCAGCAGCCAAGAUUUGGCUUGCUACUGCAAGGCAUAAGCCGCCGCGGUAAUACCCGCAGCCCGAGUGGUAGUCGCUUUUAUUGGGCCUAAAGCGUCCGUAGCCGGUCUGGUAAAUGCCUGGGGUAAAUCGUGGGGCUUAACCUCACGAAUUCCGGGUAGACUGCCAGACUUGGGACCGGUUGAGGGAGAGGGGUACUCCAGGGGUAGGGGUGGAAACUCAGCAAGGGUAAGCUGAUGUAACUUGCC